UAAUAAGUAAUAUGAGGACGUCAGCCUUGUAUGAAUAAGGGGGUACCAUCCUCCAAGGCUAAGUAUAAUAUAUCUAGCGAUAGUGGAGAGUAACGUGAGUGAAAGGUGAAAAGUAAGUAGAUGACUAGUGAAAUAGAACCUGAACUAGUAAUCCUAUAAGCAGUUGGAGUUUUAGUAAAAAAUGACAACGUACCUUUUGCAUAAUGGGUCAGCGAGUUAGUUUAUAGAGCAAGAUGAAUAAUCUAAGCGAAAGCAACUAUAAUAAGUGGAUCAAAAAUAGUUUUAUGAACUAGACCCGAAGCCAAAUGAUCUUACUAUGGCCAGGCUAAAAAAGGGCCGAACAGGUGAAUGUUGCAAAAUUCUCUGAUGAGCUGUGGUAAGGGGUGAAAGGCCAAUCUAAUUUGGAUGAUAGCUGGUAUUCUGCGAAACCUAUUUAGGUAGGGCCUUUAUUUACACUUUUAUAUGUACAGCACUGAUCAUCAUACAUUAGCCAGAUAUUUAUAUCACUAUGUUAAAUUGGGGGGUCUCACAACUCUACCAUUGAUGGUUAACCUCGGAAGGAUAAUAGUGAAUGAUAAGGGCACAGUCUAUUCAUGAUAAGGUGGAUAGACAAAAGGGAAACAGCCCAGAGCACGUGUUAAGGUCCCAAAAUAUUGUUAAGUGAAUAUAAGAAAGUUUAACUCCUAAUACAACCAUGAAGUAGGCUUGGAGGUAGCCAUCUUUUAAUGAUAGUGUAACAACUCAGUGGUCCAUGUUUCCCUAAUCCCUUACAGGGAUUAGGGAAACACAAAAAGAAAAAGAAAUUUUUCUUGCAGUUUCCUAGGAAACAGGAGGAGAUAAGCGUCGAAAAUUAACGGGUCUUAGACAAUAUACCUACACCGUGACUAUUUAUAAUAUAUUCUAUUUUUAUUAUAAAUAAGGGUAGCAGAACAUUCAGUAUCUGAUUGAAGGGAAAUGUUUCAUUUACUGGACAGUACUGAAGAGAAAAUGCUGACAUGAGUAACGUAGAAAGGAGUUAAAACACUCCUCGCCGAAUACGAGAGGGUUUCAUGGAAAAGUUAAUCUGCCAUGAGUUAUACGGACUCUAAGGAUUAUAUGACGAAUGUUUAUAUCUGAUGAGAAUAAUAACACUGAAUUAUCUAUAUAUAAUAUCAUUUACUCUGUAUGAGAUUGUACAGAGUAAAGGAUAGAUCAAGAAAAAUAAGUGUCACUAAAUUUAUAGUGAAUCCGUACCCUAAACCGACACAGGUUCGUAGGUAGAGAAUACUAAGGCGUAGAGAUAAUGCUUGUGAAGGAACUCGGCAAAUUGUGCCCGUAAGUUAGACGAUAAGGGUAACCAGAAUAAAAUAAUUCUAUUCUAACUCUGAGUGUCACAUAAUCGAGGGCUGCGACUGUUUACCAAAAACACAGCAACUUGCUAAGACGAAUAGUACUUGUAUAAGUUGUGAACUCUGCCCAAUGCCAUGUCGUGUAAAGAAGGUGAUUUAUUUAGUAGUUAUACUAAAUAGUGUCACUAACUGAUGCCAUGGUGAAUGGCGGUCUUAACUAUAAGGAUCUGAAAGUAGCGAAAUUCCUUGGCCAUUAAAUGUGGUCCUGCAUGAAUGAGGUAACGUGGCCCUGCUGUCUCCACAAGCAUCUCAGUGAAAUUGAAUUAGCCGUGCAGAUGCGGUUUACCUUCAGUUAGACGGGAAGACCCUAUGCAGCUUUACUGUAACUUGAUAUUGUUUCUUCUAUAGCUAAGUGUAGUAUACAAGGGAGUAGAUAUUUUCUACAUCAGUGAAAUACCUUGAUUAGUCUAAAGAAGAAACUUACCUAAAUGACACUAAUCGAAUAGUUCUUCAUGAGAUAUUGCGAAGAUCUCUAGUUUACGUCUCUAUAAAUUAAAUAGGAUUUAAUUUUCAUUUUUUUUUUCUAUUAGGUUUAUGGAAAGAGGAGUUUAUUCUCUUCUUUCCAUAAAUGGAAUAGAGGAAGAAUUCUUCCUCUAUUCCAUUUAUAAUACAGCCCCUUUUAUAUUUAUAAAAUAUAAGAUAAACUGUAUAUGAAUAAUUUAUUAAAUUUAGUAGUCUGGGAAAAUAUCAGGUGGUCAGUUUGACUGGGACGGUAGCCUCUAAUAAAGUAUCAGAGGCCUUCAAAGGUAUGCAUAUAUUGGUCAGAAACCAAUGAACUAUGUAAAGUUUAUUAAAGCGUAAUAGUAUAAGCAUGCUUGACUGAAAGACUGAUAGGUCGAUCAGAUACGCAAGUAGGAUAUAGUGAUCCGGUGAUUCAUUAUGGAAUGGUCAUCGCUCAAGAAAUAAAAGUUACGCUAGGGAUAACAGGUUUAUCGUUUGCGAGAGUUCAUAUUGUCCAAACGGUUUGACACCUCGAUGUCGACUCAUCUCAUCCUCCAGGUGUAGUAGCUUGGAAGGGUUCAGCUGUUCGCUGAUUAAAGAGGUACGCGAGUUGG
rnacentral:rRNA from 1 species